rnacentral:rRNA from 1 species
AAUAGAUACCCUGGUAGUCCAUGCCGUAAACGUUGGGAACUAGGUGUGGGUCUCAUUCCACGAGAUCCGUGCCGCAGCUAACGCAUUAAGUUCCCCGCCUGGGGAGUACGGCCGCAAGGCUAAAACUCAAAGGAAUUGACGGGGGCCCGCACGAAGCGGCGGAGCAUGCGGAUUAAUUCGAUGCAACGCGAAGAACCUUACCAAGGCUUGACAUGUACCGGAAACGUGCAGAGAUGUGCGCCCCGCAAGGUCGGUACACAGGUGGUGCAUGGUUGUCGUCAGCUCGUGUCGUGAGAUGUUGGGUUAAGUCCCGCAACGAGCGCAACCCUCGUUCUAUGUUGCCAGCACGUGAUGGUUGGGGACUCAUAGGAGACUGCCGGGGUCAACUCGGAGGAAGGUGGGGAUGACGUCAAAUCGAUCAUGCCCCCUUAUGUCUUGGGCUUCACGCAUGCUACAAUGGCCAGUCAAAGGGCUGCGAUACCGCGAGGUGGAGCGAAUCCCAAAAAACUGGUCUCAGUUCGAUUGGGGUCG